UCUGUCCAAAUAUAAUCAUGUUCCUUGCUUUUGUUUUCUGGGGUGUUUCUGAAGGGUCUCUGAAUGAGUCGGUCUCUUGUUGUGCUCUUUAUUUUCUGAGGCCUAUCGUGUUGCUUUGGGCAGAUCCAUAUGUUAAAGAGUUCACAUACAACAGUAAAAGACGGAUUCUGAAAUAUGGUUAUUUUGCUGAAUAUGUUUCCUUCUCAAUUGUUGUUUAUUCAGGUAAACAAACACAAAUGCCAAUCGACCAGAAUUAUCAUAAGAAUAAUAAAAUGUAAGCUAACAAAAUAAAACCAAACUAAGGUUUACAAAAACAAUCUAAUAUUCUGAAUAUUCUGCAGCAAAUUGAAACAUAUUCACAAUAAUAUAUUCAGAAACAUUUAAACCCCUACUAA